rnacentral:rRNA from 1 species
CACGUAGGGGGCAAGCGUUGUCCGGAUUUAUUGGGCGUAAAGAGCUCGUAGGCUGUUCGAUAAGUCGGGUGUGAAACCUCCAGGCUCAACCUGGAGACGCCACCCGAUACUGUCAUGACUAGAGUCCGGUAGGGGAGCGUGGAAUUCCUGGUGUAGCGGUGAAAUGCGCAGAUAUCAGGAGGAACACCGGUGGCGAAGGCGGCCCUCUGGACGGUGACUGACGCUGAGACGCGAAAGCGUGGGGAGCAAACAGG